CCCAUCCUUCGGGAUGGUGUCCUAGUGGCGCACGGGUGCGUAACACGUGGGAAUGUACCCUCAGGUACGGGAUAACGCAGGGAAACUUGUGCUAAUACCGCAUAAUGGCUCCGGCCCAAAGCUCCGGCGCCUGAGGAUCAGCCCGCGUCUGAUUAGCUAGUUGGUGAGGUAAUGGCUCACCAAGGCGACGAUCAGUAGCUGGUCUGAGAGGAUGAUCAGCCACACUGGAACUGAGACACGGUCCAGACUCC
rnacentral:rRNA from 1 species